GGGUGCUUAGCUCAGUUGGUAGAGCGGCGCCCUUACAAGGCGUAGGUCGGGAGUUCGAGCCUCUCAGCACCCACCC
rnacentral:tRNA from 1 species